UGUGAAACCACCAAACCCAGGUCCUCCUCUGCGAGGGCAACGCCUACUCCAACAGCCAUGUCAUCUCUCGGGCCCCUCCACCCCUCACUUUCUACGGAUCCAGGUGACAUUAUCUCAACUUAAGUCAUCCACUGUAAAGUCUCCCUGGGGCUCUAACCCUCCUCGCCCGUAUCAUGUGACCUUCUGGCAAGUUCCGAGGACUGGGCCGCGGGCGGCGGCCGCUGGUGUCUUUAGGGGAGUGUUAGCCUGCGGUCACAGUUAUGCUGCACUUCUGUUUUGGGAAGCUUUGCUUCAGUCACGUCCCCCAGGGGGUCAGGGGAACUGAGAGUGGGAAGAGGGCUGAGUCCAGCUCUCUCGCACUGCGGGCGGCGACAGGUGGCUGAGGAAAGUUGUGGCGCAGCAUCCGGUGCUGCUUAGACCCAGAAGA
rnacentral:lncRNA from 1 species